rnacentral:rRNA from 1 species
AUUGAACGCUGGCGGCAGGCCUAACACAUGCAAGUCGAGCGGAGCGGCGGACGGGUGAGUAGUGCCUAGGAAUCUGCCUGGUAGUGGGGGAUAACGUCCGGAAACGGGCGCUAAUACCGCAUACUCUCAGAUGAGCCUAGGUCGGAUUAGCUAGUGGGUGGGGUAAAGGCCUACCAAGGCGACGAUCCGUAACUGGUCUGAGAGGAUGAUCAGUCACACGGGAAUGGAGACACGGUCCAGAGUCCUACGGGAGGCAGCAGUGGGGAAUAUUGGACAAUGGGCUAAAGCCUGAUCCAGCAAUGCCGCGUGUGUGAAGAAGGCCUUCGGGUUGUAAAGCACUUUCAGCGGGGAGGCGUUACCCGCAGAAGAAGCACCGGCUAACUCCGUGCCAGCAGCCGCGGUAAUUC